rnacentral:rRNA from 1 species
UCCUCCGAUGGGGUAGUGUCUCUUACUUCCUAUUGUGAACUUGACGCCUGUGAACAGCGAACACAAAAGAAGAAAGAAGACCCUAUCAUCUUUACUCAGCGACCAAGAAAGAUUCUGAUAAUCAAUCGACAGGGACAACAUUCCUAUACCACGGCCCGACAUUUAGUGUGACCUCGGAGAAUAAAACAACCUCCGAGUGAUUUAAAUCUAGACUAACUAGUCGAAAGUACUACAUCACUUAUUGAUCCAAAAACUUGAUCAACGGAACAAGUUACCCUAGGGAUAACAGCGCAACACGAUGGCUUUUCUGUCUCUUACUUCCAAUMCGWGAMAKUGACCUUCCCGUGARRAGGCGGGAAUAUGACAAUAAGACGAGAAGACCCUAUGGAGCUUUAAUUAACCGACCCAAAGAGAUCUUGAUAAUCAACCGACAGGGAUAACAUACCUCUACCAUCGGGCCGACAAUUUAGGUYGGGGYGACCUCGGAGAAUAAAACAACCUCCGAGYGAUUUAAAUCUAGACUAACUAGUCGAAAGUACUACAUCACUUAUUGAUCCAAAAACUUGAUCAACGGAACAAGUUACCCUAGGGAUAACAGCGCMAUYCUAUYUUAGAGUCCACCGACAAAUAGGAUUGUGCGCGUUAUCCCUAGGGUAACUUGUUCCGUUGAUCAAGUUUUUGGAUCAAUAAGUGAUGUAGUACUUUCGACGAGUUAGUCUAGAUAUAAAUCACUCGAAGGUUGUUUUAUUCUCCAAGGUCACCCAAUUUUCCGCCAUGGUUGAGAUAUUUGAUCCUUUCAAUUGAUUAACGGAUUCUCUUUUAAUGAGUUAAGACUAGGGGUCUUCUCUCUUCUUCUGUGUUCUCCUGUGCACAGGGAUCAUUUCUCUAAUAGAAGUAAGAGACAGCUACCCAUCGCGAGAA